AGAUCCUGUGUUGUUCACGUGGGCUGCAGGUGGAGACUGUCCGACCUGACUUCUCCGCUCCUCCACCCCGCCCACCUGCACGCGGCUGCUCUCGCUGACCAGCAAGGCGAGGCGCAGCCGCAUCUCGAACAAGCCUAAUUCAAAAUUCACCCGUUUUUCGGAGGGGGGGAGGGGGGAUUUCUUUGCUUAGCUCCUGCAGACAAUGGGGGCUGCAAAACAGUUUAAUGUGCAGGUGUACACAUUCAACUCGGAGAGACCUACUGUAUUCCACAAAAAACAAGAAAAAUCGGAUUUUCGCGGAAGCCAACCCACUCGUUAGGACUCCCCCUAUCACUAGUAAUGCCCCAACACACCAGGAGGAUGAAGACUAGCACACUCUUUCUCCGAUACAUGUGAAGUCAGCCACCGCUUCUUUUCGAGCUGCUGCUGAUGCAGCAUUGCCAAGCAGCCAGCACAUUUGGAGGAAAGCGCAGCGGCAGGUGAACCCGAGGAACCUGAGGAAAGUGGUGGGAAAUCUCGAGCCAGUGACAUGUUGAACUACACUGCCAGUUUGAGGGAAUGUCAUUGCCAUCCACUGCAAAGGAGGCAAAGGGCGCACGGGUACGAUGGUGUGUACAUGGUUGAUUGACAGCGUUUAGUUUGAGAGUGCGCAGGUGUGGGAAAGGGCAAUGGCAGUGAUCUGAAGGUGCGGAUCAUAGUGAAAAGAGAGCAGGUGUUCCAGUGUGUCUGUGCCACGCAGACGAACUGUAGGCUGUUCCCAGAUACUGAAAACAAUGCCGUGGUGAUCAGCUUUCAGGAAGGGCCAGUGGUUUGUGGUGAUGUUAAGGUCAUGUUUGAAUCCAGGGCUGGUCUUCCAAAGGGGUAUGAGGACUAUCCUUUCUAUUUCUGGUUCAACACUUCAUUUGUAGAGAACAACAGGCUCUAUCUGUCAAGGGAGGAACCGGACAACCCACGUAAGUCCAAAACCUGGGACAUCUACAAGGAGGACUUUGGUGUGACCGUGUCUUUCAGUGACCCUGCAUUUAUGUAGCAGACGACACUUGCUUGUGUAUCUCAACUAAAACCCUUAAGCCCUGCACAAGGUCUAAAUCUUUGCUCUAAUGUAGGUUUUCACACACUUAUAAAAGGCGAGUGAUGUUUAGGGAUUGGAUUCGGGCAUAUUGUGCCCCUAAAGCUAUAGCUAUAGCUAUAUAACCUCAACUUUAUGUCCAUCCCCCAUCUUCACUGUAAGAGCUUUUUACUGAGCCGUGCAUACACCACAAUAUUAUGCAUUUGUUUGUCAAAUGUUUUUUUGUCUUUAAAUGAAGACAAAUGUUUGUGUCAGUUUAGCAUAUUAAGCCUCCAAAAUGUAAAUCUUACUCUUUAAGCUUGAGUGUACAUCAAAUAAAGCAAUCGAGGCUGCCACUGUGAAAUGGUCAAUGGUUAUGUGUGCAGAAACAUGUUUUUGUAGUACACAUGUAUUGAAAUAAAUACUAAUGUCUCUGUAA